rnacentral:lncRNA from 1 species
GGACAUCUAAAAUUUUAUACUAAAAAAAUACGUAUCGCAUAAUAGGAUAACAAUACUAUAAAAUUAAUUAAUUCAAAAGGCAAAGUUUGCCCAUGUGUUGAUCCAAAAAGAAAAUAUAACACCAUGACAAUUAGAGUUUACCCAUGUAUUGUUGUAUUACUAAAAACAAUGUGUAAUCAUGGACUCUUUACCAUCUUUAUUUUCCAGCCUUUUUGACUCAGUAUGCAAUAUUGUGUAACCAUGGCCGCCUUCACCUUUCCAGCUUGUGGGGCAGUCCACUCUGUUCUGUAUUGGAUCUUUGAUGUUGCAAGCCUGAAGGUACGUGAGCAAGUAAUUAAGGUUAAAUGGCUAGGCCGCCAGGGGCUAAAAGAUCACAGGAAAUAGUUGUGAUUAUCCAAUCAAGAAACGACAUCAAAACAUACCCUGAUUCAUGAGAUAUCUUAGCAGUGACUAAGUUCAUUCGUGCAUAGGAUAAUUAUAUGAAAAGAUCUAUUCUGUCCAUAGUAAAGUCAAUGGAGACAAAUAAUCUUUCCAGCCAUUGCAAACCUUCAAUCAAAAUGCUUGAUACACAAAAACUAAGGAUAUCGAAUUUCGUGCACAUAUCUAGGUGAAUGAAAAAAUCUCACACACAACAAAAAAUUACCUUGCAAUGAAGACAAUUCUAAAUUUAUGUAAGGCUUUGCGCCUUUGUGUCACCUUUCUCAUCAAAGACACAUCUACAUGAAAACAGGCAUAACCAAUAGUGAUAAGCAAAUUCUUGGCUACUAAGCAUUUUAGCAUCAUGGGACUAAUAGGAAUUCAACAAGCAUUUUAUUGUACAAGCAUGUGGAAAUAUCAUAUGUGCAGUAAACUAUUUACGGUUGAAAAAGGCUAUCCCAGUAUUCACCAAUCAUAAAAAGGAAAAGAGGUUUUCAUUCCUCAAGAAAAGCCCACAUAUAAGAAGGGAUAGAUAAAGUUAAAGA